rnacentral:rRNA from 2 species
UUUAACGAGAGUUUGAUCCUGGCUCAGGAUGAACGCUGGCGGCGUGCUUAACACAUGCAAGUCGAGCGAAGCACUCUGCUUUGAUUUCUUCGGGAUGAAGAGCUUAGUGACUGAGCGGCGGACGGGUGAGUAACGCGUGGGUAACCUGCCUCAUACAGGGGGAUAACAGUUAGAAAUGACUGCUAAUACCGCAUAAGGCCACAGCACCGCAUGGUGCAGGGGUAAAAACUCCGGUGGUAUGAGAUGGACCCGCGUCUGAUUAGGUAGUUGGCGGGGUAACGGCCCACCAAGCCGACGAUCAGUAGCCGACCUGAGAGGGUGACCGGCCACAUU